rnacentral:rRNA from 1 species
UACGGAGGGUGCAAGCGUUAUCCGGAUUCACUGGGUUUAAAGGGUGCGUAGGUGGGCAGGUAAGUCAGUGGUGAAAUCUCCGGGCUUAACUCGGAAACUGCCAUUGAUACUAUCUGUCUUGAAUACCGUGGAGGUCAGCGGAAUAUGUCAUGUAGCGGUGAAAUGCUUAGAUAUGACAUAGAACACCAAUUGCGAAGGCAGCUGGCUACACGAAUAUUGACACUGAUGCACGAAAGCGUGGGAUCAAACAGG